AGAGUUUGAUCAUGGCUCAGAGCGAACGCUGGCGGCGUGCCUAACACAUGCAAGUCGAACGGGGAUGCCCUUCGGGGCUAGUAUAGUGGCGCACGGGUGAGUAACACGUGGGUAACCUGCCCUCGAGAUGGGGAUAACCCGCCGAAAGGUGGGCUAAUACCGAAUAAGACCACGGUCACGCAUGUGGCUGAGGUCAAAGAUGCCCUCUGAAUGUAUGGUAUCGCUUGAGGAUGGGCCCGCGGCCCAUUAGCUAGUUGGUGAGGUAAUGGCUCACCAAGGCUGAGAUGGGUAGCUGGUCUGAGAGGAUGAUCAGCCACACUGGGACUGAGACACGGCCCAGACUCCUACGGGAGGCAGCAGUGGGGAAUAUUGCGCAAUGGGCGAAAGCCUGACGCAGCAACGCCGCGUGAGUGAUGAAGGCCUUCGGGUUGUAAAGCUCUGUCGGGCGGAACGAAAAGAUGAGGUGUGAAUAAUGCCUCAUAUUGACGGUACCGCCAAAGGAAGCACCGGCUAACUCCGUGCCAGCAGCGGCGGUAAUAC
rnacentral:rRNA from 1 species